rnacentral:rRNA from 1 species
GACGAACGCUGGCGGCGUGCUUAACACAUGCAAGUCGAGCGGAAAGGCCCUUCGGGUUACUCGAGCGGCGAACGGGUGAGUAACACGUGAGUAACCUGCCCCAGACUUUGGGAUAACCCUCGGAAACGGGGGCUAAUACCGGAUACGACACAGCUUCGCUGGGGGGCUGUGUGGAAAGUUGUGCGGCUUGAGUUGGGUCCGAGGUCGAUGAGCUUGUUGGUGGAGUACUGGCUGACCAAGGCGACGACGGGUAGCCGGCCUGUGAGGGCGAACAGCCACACGGGGACUGAGGGAGGGACCAGACUCCUACGGGAGGCAGCAGUGGGGAAUAUUGCACAAUGGGCGGAAGCCUGAUGCAGCGACGCCGCGUGAGGGAUGACGGCCUUCGGGUUGUAAACCUCUUUCAGCAGGGACGAAGCGUAAGUGACGGUACCUGCAGAAGAAGCGCCGGCCAACUACGUG